CAAACGUCUGGUUUUAUACUCUAAUUUGAAACUUGUAGUACGAUCUAUCAAUCUAGACAUUAUGAUGAACAAGAAAAUGUUGUGUUUUUUUAUUUUAAGUUUGUUUAUAGGUGAAUUAGUUAAGUGUGACAUAGUGAGGGACUAGGAUGGAUCAUUAAUUUCGGACGAUAAUAUUGGAGGAAACACCAGAGAAGCGGUCUUGGCGUGUAUGCAGCAAAAUAUUUGUCCAUAAGUAACAACUAAUACCGCUAGUUCAGGUGAUGCACAAGGAGUUAGUUUUGUUGUUAUUGUUUCUCGAGUAGCUGCGGUCGUGUCAAAAUUAGUCUCGGCUGGUAUGGUGGUGGAUCAAGCGUAUGAUCAAGUAAAAUCAACUUAUGAAAAAUAUAACAAAUUACAAUAAUGAACAUUUGUAUUACUUUAAUAUAGUUAGCUUAAGUCGGUGCCAGACAUAUAUUAACACUAUAUAAUAUAUUAUAUUUCCGUUUAAUGAUUUAGGAAUUAGAAUAUUAGUAUAACGAACAAUACACAUUUUUGUAAGAACGGUAGAAUUCUAUUAUUUUUAAAAUAAUAAUAGUUGUUUAAAUUAUCAUGUUCUCGGGUUGAGUAGACGGGUGAAUAACAAAUGCAUAUUUUGCUAUUGAAACUUUAAAUGAGAGCCAGAUAAUAUCGUUGUGAGAUUUUAUUGAUAUUUCAAUUUUAUUAAUACACUUGAAGACAAUAAUAUGCAUAUAAUCACUAUGUUUUGAUAAAGGGGGGUCUAUUAACUGUGCUUAUUGUGAGAUCCCUUAUUAUAGGUGUAAUAAUAUGACCCAGCGUUAUAAAUUAUCGCGCUAUCUAUGUUUAGAACAUAGAAUAAAACAUGAAAAAAAUAUCACAAAAUAUUGUUAUGCCUAUCUAUGAUACAGCUAUUGGUAGCUACUAGCCAGCUUAGAUUAGAGAGUUUAAGAACACGACGAAGGAUAGGUAGAUUAUAUUGCAGUAAAUUCCAAAAAAAUGUACUUUCAACUAAAAAUAGAAUUAAAAAAUUGUGUAUUAAUAUAAG